AGGUAUUCUAGGAUUAGUUCUUGGGAGAAAAAUUUUAAAAAAGGCUCCUGGAUUCUCGAAAGUUCUGAAAAUGCUCACUCAUCGCCAGCAUCCUGUGGCAAUCAACCUCCAUCGAGAAGUGUCGGAACUCAGGAGAGCCACUUUGCAGAUCGCUCAAGACUGGGUGGAGAUGACCAGUAUGAUGACUACCAUGAAGGACCAACAAUACAGCUUCAUCCAGAGGUUGGACAGCGAUUUCGAAUCCAUGAGUGACUUCCUCCAGAACAGCGUCAAAGUGUCCCUAGAAG